CCUACGGGUGGCAGCAGUGGGGAAUAUUGCACAAUGGGGGAAACCCUGAUGCAGCGACGCCGCGUGAGUGAGGAAGUAUCUCGGUAUGUAAAGCUCUAUCAGCAGGGAAGAAAAUGACGGUACCUGACUAAGAAGCCCUGGCUAACUACGUGCCAGCAGCCGCGGUAAUACGUCGGGGGCAAGCGUUAUCCGGAUUUACUGGGUGUAAAGGGAGCGUAGACGGUUAAUCAAGUCAGAAGUGAAAACCCAGGGCUCAACCUUGGGAGUGCUUUUGAAACUGAGUGGCUAGAGUGCAGGAGAGGUAGGCGGAAUUCCUGGUGUAGCGGUGAAAUGCGUAGAUAUUACGAAGAAGUCCGGUGGCGAAGGCGGCUUACUAGACUGUAACUGACGUUGAGGCUCGAAAGCGUGGGGAUCAAACAGGAUUAGAUACCCCGGUAGUC
rnacentral:rRNA from 1 species